GAGUGAACGCUGGCGGUAGGCCUAACCCAUGCACGUCGAACGGCAGCACAGUAAGAGCUUGCUCUUACGGGUGGCGAGUGGCGGACGGGUGAGGAAUACAUCGGAAUCUACUUUUUCGUGGGGGAUAACGUAGGGAAACUUACGCUAAUACCGCAUACGACCUACGGGUGAAAGCAGGGGAUCUUCGGACCUUGCGCGAUUGAAUGAGCCGAUGUCGGAUUAGCUAGUUGGCGGGGUAAAGGCCCACCAAGGCGACGAUCCGUAGCUGGUCUGAGAGGAUGAUCAGCCACACUGGAACUGAGACACGGUCCAGACUCCUACGGGAGGCAGCAGUGGGGAAUAUUGGACAAUGGGCGCAAGCCUGAUCCAGCCAUACCGCGUGGGUGAAGAAGGCCUUCGGGUUGUAAAGCCCUUUUGUUGGGAAAGAAAAGCAGCAGGUUAAUACCCCGCUGUUCUGACGGUACCCAAAGAAUAAGCACCGGCUAACUUCGUG
rnacentral:rRNA from 1 species